AGUGGCAGCGGAACAGAGGGGUAGGGCCAGAAGACUGCAAGCCCCAGUCAGGAGGCUGGAGCACGAGACCUGGUGGUACAAGCUGCACUCCAAGCCAGGCAAGAAGGAGAAGGAACGCGGCGAGAUUGAAGUCACCAUCCAGUUCACGCGCAACAACCUGAGCGCCAGUAUGUUUGACCUGUCCAUGAAGGACAAGCCAAGGUCCCCCUUCAGCAAGAUCAAGGACAAGAUGAAGGGCAAGAAGAAGUAUGAUCUGGAAUCUGCCUCUGCCAUCCUCCCAAGCAGCGCCAUAGAGGAUCCUGACCUGGGCAGCCUGGGCAAGAUGGGCAAAGCCAAAGGCUUCUUCCUCCGCAACAAGCUGCGCAAGUCGUCCCUGACCCAGUCCAACACCUCGCUGGGUUCGGACAGCACCCUGUCCUCAGCCAGCGGGAGCUUGGCCUACCAGG
rnacentral:sRNA from 1 species